rnacentral:tRNA from 1 species
UUCUCCAUAGGUCCAGUGGUUAAGACUCUGAGCUUCCACUGCAGGGGACACAGGUUCCAUUCCUGAUGUAGAAA